rnacentral:lncRNA from 1 species
AAAAACAGGAUCGCUAAUAGGUUACAACACUGAAAUCAGAAACUAAAACUUUAAAAUCUCAUUACAACUUAAACUACAUUAUCAGCUAAACCUCGAUAAGAAGAAUAACUGAUAACCAAAUAAAUAAAUCUAUUAUACAACUAAACUGGAAUAAAUCAAUUCUAACCAGAACUAUUCUUGAAGACAUCUCCCUGGCAAUCUCGCCUAGCAUUACUCCUACGCGCAGCUUGACAAACGAAUCAUCUAAAUCCCUAGCUGAAAAGGUUAAAAAUAAUAGCAAGAGUGAGCAAUAAUGCUCAGCAAGUAUAUAAAAGAACAAUUGUAAUAAAUAAAAGGAGAAUAAAAUAUAUCAGAUUUUGUAUGUAACUUGCCAGGUAUUUUCAACAAUGGAGAACAACAGUUAUAAUUCUAUAAAAGUAUGGCAAUUACAAGAGAAUAUAAUCAUUUAAAACUAUUCUGUGAAAAAUCAUUCGCUUACGGCGCGUUGUGCUGACACGGUGAUCAGCCGAGCAUCAAGCACCGGGCACAGGGCGCUACCUGUCCCAAAAACAAAGGGGCCCAAGGCACAUAUUGGCCUUAAAUAAUGUAACAUGUAACUCACGACCGGCACCACGGUCUAGCAAAUGAAUUCCGAUUGGUUAACAGUUUAUAAAUAAUACUUCUAUAAUAAAAGUCUUUUAAC